rnacentral:misc_RNA from 1 species
GAUGAAGAACGCAGCGAAACGCGAUAGUUAAUGUGAAUUGCAGAAUUCAGUGAAUCAUCGAGUCUUUGAACGCACAUUGCGCCCAUUGGUAUUCCGUUGGGCAUGUCUGUUUGAGCGUCAUUACAACAGUUCAGCGUAAGCUGGUUAUGAGUUCUGUUUUUUUAAACAAAAAACAGGCUUUAAAAUGUAUGUUCUGCAGGUCGCUUUGCUAAACCCUAAACAUUAAAUACUGUUCUAGUGAAGCAUUUGCGACUCUGCCUGAAAAAAAACUUUUGUUAAAGUUUGACCUCAGAUCAGACAAGGAUACCCGCUGAACUUAAGCAUAUCAAUAAGCGGAGGA